UUUUAAGUCCAAUCUGCCCAAUGAAAAAUUUAAAUGGCUGCAGUAUAAAUAACUGUACUAAGGUAGCAUAAUAAUUUGUUUUUUAAUUAAAAACUAGAAUAAAAGAUUUAAUGAAAUAUAUACUAUAUAAAUUAAAUAAAUUAAAUUUUUUAUUUAAGUAAAAAAACUUAAAUAAAAUUAAAAGACGAUAAGACCCUAUAAAAUUUUAUUAAUAAAUUUAUAAUAUUAAUUAUAUCUUAAAUUAUUAUAAAUUAAUUAAUUUAAUUGGGGUAAUUUAAAAAUUAAAAAAAUUUUUUAAUUAAAAUACAAAUAUCAAUGAAUAAAUAAUCUUUAAAUUUAAAUAUUAUAAAAUUAAUUACUUUAGGGAUAACAGCAUAA
rnacentral:rRNA from 1 species